UGAAGGCAGGAAGACAAUGUUCAA
rnacentral:misc_RNA from 1 species